rnacentral:misc_RNA from 1 species
GAAAAGUUCGCCUUUUUUAUGCAAGAGAGAAUGGGUCAAAACUAUCACUGGCAUGGAGGAAGCUUAUUUUGGAUGGAUAGCUAUGAAUUAUCAUACUGGUGUAUUGGGAGCAAAACCUAAAAAGGGAACAUUUGGUGCACUGGACUUAGGCGGCUCAUCACUGCAGGUUACUUUUGAGAGCAAGGGAAGUCUCCCUGAUGAAACUAGCUUAGAACUGAA